rnacentral:lncRNA from 1 species
AGCUUUUUAUUUUUUUUGAUUGCAGCUGAUCAUUGAGGAAAGGUUUUCUACAGUCAUUCGCUGAUUUAUUUCUUGAGAUGAUAUGAUCACUUUUCAUCUGAAUGUCAAGAUGUCAAAAUACAUGAAUGAAUGCAUCUUCCAGUAACUCUUAUUAGAGCUUCAUUUCCACUCACUUUCCAGACAAGAUAUGACCUGUUAUCUCAAUGGACAGAUAACUGUUUUUCCAGAACUGUUAUUUCCUGCUGUAUACAAGUUUUUGGAGACUUUGAAAUUCUGUUCUUCCUCAGAUACUGUUUCCACUGA